GAGGAAGUCGCGGCUGAUUAGCUAGUUGGCGGGGUAAUGGCCCACCAAGGCUUAGAUCGGUAGCCGGCCUGAGAGGGCGCACGGCCACACUGGAACUGAGACACGGUCCAGACUCCUACGGGAGGCAGCAGUGGGGAAUUUUGCGCAAUGGGGGAAACCCUGACGCAGCAACGCCGCGUGGAGGAUGAAGUCCCUUGGGAUGUAACCUCCUUUCGACCAAAAGACGAUAAUGACGGUACUGGUGGAAGAAGCACCGGCUAACUCUGUGCCAGCAGCCGCGGUAAUACAGAGGGUGCGAGCGUUGUUCGGAAUUAUUGGGCGUAAAGGGCGCGUAGGCGGUGCGGUAAGUCACCUGUGAAAUCUCCUGGCUCAACUGGGAGCUUGCAGGCGAAACUGCCGUGCUAGAGUGUGGGAGAGGUGCGUGGAAUUCCCGGUGUAGCGGUGAAAUGCGUAGAUAUCGGGAGG
rnacentral:rRNA from 1 species